rnacentral:tRNA from 1 species
GCCUUCGUGGUGUAACGGUUAGCACACUCAACGCAUAUUCGAGAGGUCCAGGUUCGAGUCCCGGCAAGGGCA